rnacentral:rRNA from 1 species
GGCCCUACGGGGUGCAGCAGGCGCGAAAACUUUACAAUGCUGGCAACAGCGAUAAGGGAACCUCGAGUGCCAGGUUACAAAUCUGGCUGUCGAGAUGCCUAAAAAGCAUUUCAUAGCAAGGGCCGGGCAAGACCGGUGCCAGCCGCCGCGGUAACACCGGCGGCUCGAGUGGUAACCGUUAUUAUUGGGUCUAAAGGGUCUGUAGCCGGCCGGAUAAGUCUCUUGAGAAAUCUGGCAGCUUAACUGUCAGGCUUUCAGGAGAUACUGUCUGGCUCGAGGCCGGGAGAGGUGAGAGGUACUUCAGGGGUAGGGGUGAAAUCUUGUAAUCCUUGAAGGACCACCAGUGGCGAAGGCGUCUCACCAGAACGGACCUGACGGCAAGGGACGAAAGCUAGGGGCACGAACCGGAUUAGAUACCCGGGUAGUCCUAGCCGUAGACGAUACUCGCUAGGUGUCGGCCACGGUGCGACCGUUGUCGGUGCCGUAGGGAAGCCGUGAAGCGAGCCACCUGGGAAGUACGGCCGCAAGGCUGAAACUUAAAGGAAUUGGCGGGGGAGCACCACAACGGGUGGAGCUUGCGGUUUAAUUGG